rnacentral:tRNA from 1 species
GGAGAGAUGGCAGAGUGGUCGAAUGCGCAGCCUUGGAAAGGCUGUGUACGAGCAAUCGUACCGCGGGUUCGAAUCCCGCUCUCUCCGCCA